AUCUUUAUCUCCCGGAGGUGGGAUUCCGUUUAAAUUGUCAAUCCGAAGGGAGGCUAUCUGUCCAGCUUCAGUUGAAAACGGCAGCUAUCAUGGGACCUUGAGAUUUUCUGGGGAUGGAUUAGAGUUGCCGUAAGUGCCUUCCUGCCGUCCCUCCCGCUCCAAGCCGCCGACGCGUUCUCCCGCUCCUCUCUUUCACCGGGAAGGCGGGAAGGACCCAUGGAUCUGGGCUGAACCGUUGCAGGCUUGCAGCCGGCUUAGAUCCGGCCGGAUUCAUGCUCUUCUUGCCGGGCAGCGGGAGGGAGCACCUAACCAUCUGAGGCCCGCGAGAGGAUGAGGUGGCGGCACAGCGCUUCAACGCGCUUGCGUCCAGGGCUGCCGCUCGCCUCAGCUUGCAGGCCAGCUUACUGCCGCAUCGAGCAGCAGGAGUAAUCCUUGAAUAGUUGCAGCCAAAAGUGGGAGCAAUAAAAAUGGGAAGGAAGGCUGGCGUAAAUGAAGCAGUCUGCUCAGCAAAAUCAAGAAAUAUUUGAGCUGUGAUUUCAAGAAAAUAAAUAAAGGUAGACUUCAUCGUAACUAGCUGUCCAAGAUGUGCCAAGGUAAUCCCUCCGUCCCAAAAUUCAUGUUUUAAAUUUGUCUAAAUACAGAUAUAUCUAGUUACGUUUUAGUACCGCUCAAAAAAAAGUUAUGUUUUAGUGUUAGAUAUAUUCGUAUCUAGACAAAUUUAAAACAAGAAUUUUGAGACGGAGGAAGUAUAAAAUAGCUGAUUAUUGUUACAUAUGGCUGCUCCUGCAACUCAAAACUCUGGAUAAGUACUA